GGUUGAUCCUGCCAGUUGUCAUAUGCUUGUUUCAAGGACUAAGCCAUGCAAGUGUCAGAGUACCCGAGGUUUUCCUCGGUGAGGUCUGUGUACGGCUCAUUAAACGGUUUAUUGUCUACCCAACGAAGGAUGUGCAUUUGCCAGCCCUCGGGAUAACUUUGCUAACUGCAAAGCUAAUACCUGUACGAAGAACCUCGGACUUUUCCAACAGCAGGGUUUCCUCGGAUUCUCUGCUGUAGUGCGAGGUGCGCUUCGCCGAAACAAAAACCAACGCCGUUUUACGGCAGCUGAAACUGUUGAGGCAGGCGAAUGUCGCGAAAGCGUUCUUGAACGCGUUGUUGGACGAAUUUACCACCUAUCAGGUUGAAGGUAGUAUAGUUGACUACCUUGCCAUUGACGGGUAACGGGGAAUUGGGGUUCGAUUCCGGAGAGGGUGCUUGAGAAAUGGCAACCAUGACUACGGUCAGCAGCAGGCGCGCAAAUUGCCCAAUGCCAAUACCUGGCGAGGCAGCGACGAAAAAUAAUAACUCUGAUGCACAAAGUGUACCAGAGAUUGCAAUGGACUGUAUCCAGAAACACUGAUGAGUAUCCAUUGGAGGGCAAGUCUGGUGCCAGCAGCCGCGGUAAUUCCAGCUCCAAGAGCGUAUAUAAACGUUGUUGCGGUUAAAAAGCCCGUAGUUGGAUUUGAGAUCAUCGCCUGUGAGUUCUACUCCGGGGUACCCCCUCGGGAUCUAGAACCCACGUCAUGACGAUGUUCUGUUGCAUGCGGGAAUGGACAUCUGCCGAUACUCCUCUGGGAGUGUGUAGGCAAUUUCGGAGUCGUUACGCUCCAAAGAUGCGCCCGCAGUCGUCACUGUGAGUAAAUCAGAGUGUUCAAGGCAACCGUUUGUGCGGUUGAAUGUUAAAGCAUGGAAUGACAAGGGAUCGACCACUAUUUGGCCUCUUUUUGUUGGUUUUUAACCUUCAGUGAGGCAAACUUGUGGGAGGGUUUUCCGCUUCAAGGACUUCGGUCUCUUGAGCGGACCCUUCUACGCACGGGAUCAAUAGGAGCACAGGGGGCCGUGAGUACUGGAGGGUGAGUGGUGAAAUACUGAGACCCCUCCAAGACUGACAUCAGCGAAAGCACUCGGCUAUUGUGCUUUCAUUAAUCAAGGACGAGAGAUAGGGGAUCGAAGAGGAUUAGACACCCUCGUAGUCCUUUCCUUAAAUUCUGCAGACUUGGGAUCGGUCAGCGCUUUUCUCUUAGCCUGAUCGGCACCUUCCUCCCCUACCGAGAAAUCAAAGUCUUUGUGUUCCGGGGGGAGUACAUUCGCAAGGCUGAAACUUAAAGGAAUUGACGGAGAACCACCACCAGUCGUGGAUUGUGUGGCUUAAUUCGACCCAACACGGGAAAUUUUACCAGCACAGGACAGGGUCAGGAUUGCCAAGUUAAAGCCUUUGCUUGAUUCCCUGAAGGGUGGUGCAUGGCCGCUUCUGGUUGGUGAAUGUGAUUUGUCUGCUUAAUUGCGAUAACGAACGAGAUCUCUGCCAAUCACUAGAGCCC
rnacentral:rRNA from 1 species